rnacentral:lncRNA from 1 species
UGAAAUGCUCCUAUCAGAAUUUUUUUUCAUUCCAGGGCUCCAACUUGACAUUAUACAAUGAUUACUCCCAGUAGUUUCAAAAGACUUGCUACAUCUUUGUUUUUCAAGAAUUCCAAGAAAAUCUGGUAUCUAUCUAAAGUUUUCUUCUCCUUCUCUUUCAUCAGUAUCACAUCUCUCAAACUCUUGAGAAUAUAGGAUUUUUUCCGGGCAAACUCUCAUGAUGUAUAUUUAUCUUCCGAGGAUCCCAGUCUAUUUGAAAUAGAGACGUAAUUGUUAAGAAAAGAUUUUCGUCAUCAUUAUCUUCAUCAGCUAGUAAAUAAGGAGGCACUUCAGCUUCAUGCUUUUCAAAUUCUUCAAUGCUCAUUCCAUCUUUAAGACAAUCACCUCCUGCCAUGGCCAAUGCUUCAAGUGAAAUGGACAUUCUCUUUUGGCUAUUUAUGCAACUAAUUAAGUGGAUAUAAGAUCAAGGACAAGAACAAGAUGCUAUAAUGCAAUAACUGAGUUCUGAACAAAUUAGCUCCUUGAUAUAUAGAAUGGCUUAAUCUCAUAUCGAUAUAAUGGAAAAUUAAUACUAUACGUUAGGUUUGGAGAGAGACGAGGC